UCCCGAGAGACCGAUAGUGAACCAGUACUGUGAAGGAAAGGUGAAAAGCACUUCGAACAGAAGAGUGAAAUAGUACCUGAAACCGUGCGCCUACAAGCGGUUGGAGCUCUGCAAAGAGUGACAGCGUGCCUUUUGCAUAAUGAACCUACGAGUUACCGUCGUUGGCGAGGUUAAGGGUCAUGAGACCCGCAGCCGAAGAGAAAUCGAGUCUGAACAGGGCGUUCAGUCAGCGGCGGUAGACGCGAAACCAAGUGAUCUACCCUUGGCCAGGAUGAAGUCUGGGUAACACCAGAUGGAGGUCCGCACCAAUAAGCGUUGAAAAGCUUCUGGAUGAGCUGAGG
rnacentral:rRNA from 1 species